AUUAGACGAAUCAUCUGGAAAGAUGAAUCAAAGAAGGUAAUAAUCCUGUAGUCGAAAAUGUUGUCUCUCUUGAGUGGAUCCUGAGUACGACGGAGCACGUGAAAUUCCGUCGGAAUCUGGGAGGACCAUCUCCUAAGGCUAAAUACUCUCUAGUGACCGAUAGUGAACCAGUACCGUGAGGGAAAGGUGAAAAGCACCCCGGAAGGGGAGUGAAAUAGAACCUGAAACCGUGUGCUUACAAGUAGUCAGAGCCCGUUAAUGGGUGAUGGCGUGCCUUUUGUAGAAUGAACCGGCGAGUUACGAUUUGAUGCAAGGUUAAGCAGUAAAUGUGGAGCCGUAGCGAAAGCGAGUCUGAAUAGGGCGUUUAGUAUUUGGUCGUAGACCCGAAACCAGGUGAUCUACCCUUGGUCAGGUUGAAGUUCAGGUAACACUGAAUGGAGGACCGAACCGACUUACGUUGAAAAGUGAGCGGAUGAACUGAGGGUAGCGGAGAAAUUCCAAUCGAACCUGGAGAUAGCUGGUUCUCUCCGAAAUAGCUUUAGGGCUAGCCUCAAGUGAUGAUUAUUGGAGGUAGAGCACUGUUUGGACGAGGGGCCCCUCUCGGGUUACCGAAUUCAGACAAACUCCGAAUGCCAAUUAAUUUAACUUGGGAGUCAGAACAUGGGUGAUAAGGUCCGUGUUCGAAAGGGAAACAGCCCAGACCACCAGCUAAGGUCCCAAAAUAUAUGUUAAGUGGAAAAGGAUGUGGCGUUGCCCAGACAACUAGGAUGUUGGCUUAGAAGCAGCCAUCAUUUAAAGAGUGCGUAAUAGCUCACUAGUCGAGUGACACUGCGC
rnacentral:rRNA from 1 species